UGAAUAGCUUCGGCUAGUUAUAUUGGAAGUAUGAUUAAUUAUAUACAACACUUCUGAUGUUGCAUAUAAGAUAUUAUCCUUUUUGAUCUUUAGCAGCCGAUGUAGAUCAAUUAAUUACCACUUAUCGUAAGAUAUUCAGAACGUAUGGUUCAGUGGACAAUAUAAUAUCGAUUUUAUCGAAUAAAGUUCUAGAUGGAAUACUGAUUAUGACAAUUUUCUGUCUAUGUGUCUUGACCAAAUUACGUGCCAGCAGUCGCGGUAAUACGUAGAAGACUAGUGUUAUUCAUCUUUAGUAGGUUUAAAGGGUACCUAGACGGUAUAAUUAGUCUUUGAUAGGAUACGGUUAUACUAGAGUUAUAUAUGAGGAGGUGAGUAUUUAUGGAGUAGAGUUGAAAUUCGUUGAUACCAUGACGACUGGUAAAGGCGAAAGCAACCUUUUAUCUAAUAACUGACGUUGAGGGACGAAGGCUCGGGUCACGAACAGGAUUAGAUACCCUAGUAGUCCAAGCAGAGAAUGAUGAAUGCCAUAGGUUAGAUUUAUAUUUAGUCUAUAAAUGAAAGUGUAAGCAUUUCACCUCAAGAGUAAUGUGGCAACGCAGGAACUGAAAUCAUUAGACCGUUUCUGAAACCAGUAGUGAAGUAUGUUAUUUAAUUCGUAGUUACGCGAAAAACCUUACCACAACUUGAAUAUUAUUUUAAAGAAACCUUAUUCGAUUAUUAUCUUAUAAUAUUCGUAUAAGAUAGACGUAAGAUAUUACAAGCGUUGCACGGCUGUCUUCAGUUAAUGUCGUGAGAUAUUGGUUAAUUCCAUUAAAUUAACGGAAACCCUUGCUUUAUUUGCGAUUUAAUCUAAAUAAAGCAGUUCACCUCUAUAUCGGAUAUG
rnacentral:rRNA from 1 species